CGGCAUCAUGGCCUGGACUCCACUCUCCCUCCUCAGCCUCCUCCUUCACUGCGCAGGGUCCCUCGCCCAGCCUGUGCUGACCCAGCCACCAUCGGCAUCUGCCUCCCUGGGCGCCUCGGCCAAGCUCACCUGCACCCUGAGCAGUGGCUACAGCAGCUAUAGUGUGGACUGGUACCAGCAGGGCCCGGGGAAGGGCCCUCGGUUCCUGAUGCGAGUGGGCCCCAGUGGUAUCGUUGGAUCCAAGGGGGACGGGGUUCCCAAUCGCUUCUCAGUCUCAGGCUCUGGCUCGGAUCGGUACCUCACCAUCCAGAACAUCCAGGCAGAGGACGAGGCUGACUACCACUGUGGAGCAGACCAUGGCAGUGGGAGCAGCUUUGUGUAA